CGCAGGCUGUAUCGCCUACGUGAAGGAGGAAUCGCUAGUAAUCGCAGGUCAGCAUACUGCGGUGAAUACGUUCCCGGGCCUUGUACACACCGCCCGUCACACCAUGGAAGUUGGCCACGCCCGAAGCCGUUACUCCAACCCUUGUGGAGGAGGACGUCGAAGGUGGGGCUGAUGACUGGGGUGAAGUCGUAACAAGGUAUCCGUACCGGAAGGUGCGGAUGGAUCACCUCCUAA
rnacentral:rRNA from 1 species